AUGUUCCAACCCACCGGCCGUGAGCUCGUCGGCCACUACCUCAUCCCCAGGGCGGGGCUCGGCGGCUUCUUCCUCCCCGGCGUCAUCGAGGAGGGCGUGGACGUCUUGUCCUUGCGGCCACGCGCGCUCUCCUUCCCGGAAAACCACAAGAGGGAUUACAGCGAGGUAUGGGGCUUCUUCUUCGCGGCAAAGCUCGCCGGCGAGACAUGCCCGACGCCGGGCGCGGGCAGGUGCUGGGUGCAGUACAGCCAGGAGAAGGCGUACUACGGCGGCGAGGGCGGCCGGGAGGAAGUGGCGUUCCGGCACAGGUUCGCGUACCGCUACACAUGGAGGGACGGGAGGUAA
rnacentral:rRNA from 1 species